rnacentral:rRNA from 1 species
AACGCGAAGAACCUUACCUACUCUUGACAUCUACAGAAGCCAGCGGAGACGCAGGUGUGCCUUCGGGAACUGUAAGACAGGUGCUGCAUGGCUGUCGUCAGCUCGUGUUGUGAAAUGUUGGGUUAAGUCCCGCAACGAGCGCAAUCCUUAUCCUUGUUUGCCAGCACUUCGGGUGGGAACUCCAGGGAGACUGCCGGUGAUAAACCGGAGGAAGGUGGGGACGACGUCAAGUCAUCAUGGCCCUUACGAGUAGGGCUACACACGUGCUACAAUGGCGCAUACAGAGGGCGGCCAACUUGCGAAAGUGAGCGAAUCCCAAAAAGUGCGUCGUAGUCCGGAUUGGAGUCUGCAACUCGACUCCAUGAAGUCGGAAUCGCUAGUAAUCGUGGAUCAGAAUGCCACGGUGAAUACGUUCCCGGGCCUUGUACACACCGCCCGUCACACCAUGGGAGUGGGCUGCAAAAGAAGUGGGUAGUUUAACCUUCGGGAGGACGCUCACCACUUUGUGGUUCAUGACUGGGGUGAAGUCGUAACAAGGUAACCG